rnacentral:lncRNA from 1 species
AUCUAUCUCAUAGAUUAUCCUGGUUAAGAUUUUACUAAAUUGAAAUACACUGAUGCAUAUCUUUUACUACUUUAGAGGGAUCAAUUCCAUCUUGACUCACACACCGACUUGAUAAGUACUUGACUGCAUCCAGUAGCCUCUCGACACUAAGUUAGAAACUCAGAUGGUCCAGUACCAAAGUACAGUGAGUUACUUAUAAGUUACUGUGGUAGUCUC